rnacentral:rRNA from 1 species
CCUUAGUAACGGCGAGUGAAGCGGCAAUAGCUCAAAUUUGAAAUCGGGCGCCUUCGGCGUCCGAGUUGUAAUUUGUAGAGGAUGCUUCAGACACGGCGUCGGCCGAAGUUCUUUGGAACAGGACGUCAUAGAGGGUGAGAACCCCGUAUGUGUUCGACGUGCAGUUGUCUAUGUGAAGCUCCUUCGAAGAGUCGAGUUGUUUGGGAAUGCAGCUCUAAAUGGGAGGUAAAUUCCUUCUAAAGCUAAAUACUGGCCAGAGACCGAUAGCGCACAAGUAGAGUGAUCGAAAGAUGAAAAGCACUUUGAAAAGAGAGUUAAAAAGUACGUGAAAUUGUUGAAAGGGAAGCGCUUGCGAUCAGACUCGUCCGUAGAGGUAGCGUUCGCCGUCAGGCGGGCGUAUACGCCUCUACGGCCGGGCCAGCAUCGGUUUGGGCGACCGGAUAAAGGCCCUAGGAAUGUGGCCCUCUUCGGAGGGUGUUAUAGCCUAGGGUGUAAUGCGGCCAGCCCGGACCGAGGUCCGCGCUUCGGCUAGGAUGCUGGCGUAAUGGUCGUAAGCGGCCCGUCUUGAAACACGGACCAAGGAGUCUAACAUCUAUGCGAGUGUUCGGGUGUCAAACCCGUGCGCGUAAUGAAAGUGAACGGAGGUGGGAACCCCUCGGGGCGCACCAUCGACCGAUCCUGAAGUUUACGGAAGGAUUUGAGUAAGAGCAUAGCUGUUGGGACCCGAAAGAUGGUGAACUAUGCGUGAAUAGGGUGAAGCCAGAGGAAACUCUGGUGGAGGCUCGCAGCGGUUCUGACGUGCAAAUCGAUCGUCAAAUUUGCGUAUAGGGGCGAAAGACUAAUCGAACC